GAUUUCUGACUUGGCGCACCUGGCCCGCCACGGUUACGUGUGUGAGUGCCGGGAUGCGCCUGUCACUUUUCUAGUAAACUAUUGUGCUCUUCAUUGAGUGCGAUAGGUAGCUAGAUAUUUUACUUUGAAAAAAUUAGAGUGUUUAAAGCAGGCGUUUGCUAUGAAUACAUUAGCAUGGAAUAAUAAGUUAGGACUUCGGUUCUAUUUUGUUGGUUUCUAGGACUGAAGUAAUGAUUGAUAGGGAUAGUUGGGGGUGCUAGUAUUCAGCGGCCAGAGGUGAAAUUCUCGGAUUCGCUGAAGACUAACUUAUGCGAAAGCAUU
rnacentral:rRNA from 2 species